rnacentral:rRNA from 1 species
AUCGGGAGGAACACCAGUGGCGAAGGCGGCAUCCUGGGCUGUUCCUGACGCUGAAGGCGAAAGCUAGGGUAGCGAACGGGAUUAGAAACCCCGGUAGUCCUAGUUGUAAACGAUGGAUGCUAGAUGUAGGGGGUAUAGAUUCCCUCUGUGUCGCAGUUAACGCGUUAAGCAUCCCGCCUGGGGAGUACGGUCGCAAGGCUAAAACUCAAACGAAUUGACGGGGGCCCGCACAAGCAGCGGAGCGUGUGGUUUAAUUCGAUGCUACACGAAGAACCUUACCUGGGCUUGACAUGUAUGUGGUAGUGAAGUGAAAGCGGAUCGACCCUUCGGGGAGCAUACACAGGUGCUGCAUGGCUGUCGUCAGCUCGUGCCGUGAGGUGUCGGGUUAAGUCCCGUAACGAGCGCAACCCCUGUCCUUAGUUACAAGUGUCUAGGGAGACUGCCGGCGGUAAGCCGGAGGAAGGUGGGGAUGACGUCAAGUCAGCAUGGCCUUUAUGUCCAGGGCUACACACACGCUACAAUGGCCGGUACAAUGGGUUGCCAAACCGUGAGGUGGAGCCAAUCCCGUAAAGCCGGUCUCAGUUCGAAUUGUAGACUGCAACUCGUCUACAUGAAGUCGGAGUUGCUAGUAAUCGCGGAUCAGCAUGCCGCGGUGAAUAUGUUCCCGGGCCUUGUACACACCGCCCGUCACGUCAUGGAAGCUGGCAACACCUGAAGCCGGUGAGCCAACCCGAAAGGGAGGUAGCUGUCGAAGGUGGGCUGGUGACUGGA